GACGAACGCUGGCGGCGUGCUUAACACAUGCAAGUCGGACGAGGACGGGAGCUUGCUCCUGAUCCGAGUGGCGAACGGGUGAGUAACACGUGACCAACCUGUCCUAGGGUGAGGGACAACCUGGGGAAACCCGGGCUAAUACCGCAUGAUGUCUCGAGGUCGCAUGGCCUUGAGAUCAAAGAGGGCCUCUGCUUGCAAGCUCUCGCCCAGGGAGGGGGUCGCGGCGUAUCAGCUAGUUGGUAGGGUAAUGGCCUACCAAGGCUACGACGCGUAGCGGGUCUGAGAGGACGACCCGCCUCAUUGGGACUGAGAUACGGCCCAGACUCCUACGGGUGGCAG
rnacentral:rRNA from 1 species